rnacentral:rRNA from 1 species
UGAGAGGCAUCUCUUGAAUAUCAAAGGUGAGCCAGUACAGGAUGGACCCGCGUCUGAUUAGCUAGUUGGUAAGGUAACGGCUUACCAAGGCGACGAUCAGUAGCCGACCUGAGAGGGUGAUCGGCCACAUUGGAACUGAGACACGGUCCAAACUCCUACGGGAGGCAGCAGUGGGGAAUAUUGCACAAUGGGCGAAAGCCUGAUGCAGCAACGCCGCGUGAGUGAUGAAGGCCUGCGGGUCGUAAAACUCUGUCCUCAAGGAAGAUAAUGACGGUACUUGAGGAGGAAGCCCCGGCUAACUACGUGCCAGCAGCCGCGGUAAUACGUAGGGGGCUAGCGUUAUCCGGAUUUACUGGGCGUAA